rnacentral:hammerhead_ribozyme from 1 species
AGUUAACUGACGAGUCUCAAAUAGGACGAAAUGCGCGUUAUCCUGGAU